rnacentral:tRNA from 1 species
AGGGCAGUAGCGCAAUGGCAGCGCAGCGGUCUCCAAAACCGCGGGUUGGGGGUUCGAGUCCCUCCUGCCCUGCCU